rnacentral:lncRNA from 1 species
UGCGAACUAGCUACAUUUAUAAUAUAUAAACAAAAAUUGCUGUUGAAAGGGCAAUGCAUUGUAAUAGAUAUAAUAUAUUAAUGCUCGAUCGGUCACGAUUAACCCUACAGUAUCUCAAGCAGGAUUUAUGGGAUUUAAACAAGAUUUGGGGGCUUAAGGAUCAUGUGCCUUAGAAGAAGCAUGUGCGAUCAUUGUAGAGACUCGGGAUUAUCAUCAUGUUCAGCAGCUAAAUAUCACUGUCAGAUCAUGCUUAACAAGAUCAUCAUGAGUACACUCGCAUAAAAGAACAAAGAACGAAGAGUAUAUAUGCCGUUUGAGACCUUUAAAGCAGACAUGGUAUCAAACAGAUACAUGCUCCAUGAUUCCAGUGUUGCACGUACUGAGGAACACGUAGUUGCUCCAUGAUCCCAGUGUUGCAUAGACUGAGGAACAUCGAUACUGUGCUGUGGGGAAUCAUGAGGUCAAAUCCGUUUUGUAAGAUUAUCAUGGGUUUGAAGAGGGCAUUCAUGUAUACUGUAGAGAUGGAUUGCUGGAGAUAAAAUGCGUUUUCCCUUUAUUUUCUUGGGAAGAAGAAGGAAAAGAAAGAAGAAAAAAUGAUCAUAGGGCGAAAGCAAGAAGACACCUUGCCAGACAGGAGGAGGACCAGUCAAGUAGAAGCGACAUAAUUAGGCAGGCCCAAACAAGACUCAAGCCUAAACAAUUUGACUUGUGUGUUGUAGCCCGAUAAUUGAAUAGGUCGCAGCAUUCCUAGCAGGGGUCCAUUCUGCACCUAAUC